rnacentral:rRNA from 1 species
AACUGCUGCACAAGGAGUGUUCGAUUGGACUCCUUUUCACACAAUGAACAACCAGCUUAGAACUGAUGCGGGCAAGGGGAAUCCGACUGUUUAAUUGAAACAAAGUAUUGCGAUGCCCUGAAAGGAUGUUGACACAAUGUGAUUUCUGCCCAGUGCUCUGAAUGUCAAAGUGAGGAGAUUCAACUAAGCGCGGGUAAACGGCGGGAGUAACUAUGACUCUCUUAAGGUAGCCAAAUGCCUCGUCAUCCAAUUAGUGACGCGCAUGAAUGGAUUAAUGAGAUUCCUACWGUCCCAAUCURCUGUCCAGCGAAACCACAGCCAAGGGAACGGGCUUGGGUGAGUCAGCGGGGAAAGAAGACCCUGUUGAGCUUGACUCUAAUCCGACUUUGUGAAAUGACUUAGGAGGAGUAGGAUAUGUGGGAGCUCWGGUGAUCUUGAAAUACCACUACUUUUAAUGUCACUUUACUUACUCUAUCCAACUGUGCCCUGCCUCACAGCAGGUUUUUGCUUUYAAGGUUGCUCUUUUGGCGUGUUGAUUUGCGUAGAAGACGUCGUCCGGUGGGGAGUUUGGCUGGGGCGGCACAUCUGUUAAAGGAUAACGCAGGUGUCCUAAGGUGAGCUCAAUGAGAACAGAAAUCUCAUGCGGAUCAAAAGGGGAAACGCUUGCUUGAUUUUGCUUUUCAGUGUGAAGAUAAACUGUGCAAACAUGGCCUAUUGAUCCUUUAG